UCUACUACUCAGUUGGUAGAGUAGAAAGCUCUUAACCUUUUGGAGGUGGGUUCAAGCCCCAUGGUGGAG
rnacentral:tRNA from 1 species